CACGUAGGGGGCAAGCGUUGUCCGGAUUUAUUGGGCGUAAAGAGCUCGUAGGCGGUUCGGCAAGUCGGGUGUGAAACCCCCAGGCUCAACCUGGGGACGCCACCCGAUACUGCUGUGACUUGAGUCCGGUAGGGGAGCGUGGAAUUCCUGGUGUAGCGGUGAAAUGCGCAGAUAUCAGGAGGAACACCGGUGGCGAAGGCGGGACUCUGGGCCGAUACUGACGCUGAGGAGCGAAAGCGUGGGGAGCAAACAGG
rnacentral:rRNA from 1 species